rnacentral:rRNA from 1 species
UCAGGCGCGAAAGCUAGGGGAGCGAACUGGAUUAGAUACCCAGGUAGUCCUAGCCGUAAACGUUGGGUGCUAGGUGUGGGCGGACAUCGACCCCGUCCGUGCCGAAGCUAACGCAUUAAGCACCCCGCCUGGGGAGUACGGCCGCAAGGCUAAAACUCAAAGGAAUUGACGGGGCCCCGCACAAGCGGCGGAGCAUGUUGCUUAAUUCGAUGCAACGCGAAGAACCUUACCUGGGCUUGACAUGCAGGGUGAAACCCGUGAAAGCGGGCGCUCUUCGGAGCCUGCACAGGUGGUGCAUGGCUGCCGUCAGCUCGUGCCGUGAGGUGUUGCCUUAAGUGGCGCAACGAGCGCAACCCCUGUCCUUAGUUGCCAGCGGAUCAUGCCGGGAACUCUAGGGAGACUGCCGGUGCCAAACCGGAGGAAGGUGGGGAUGACGUCAAGUCAUCAUGCCCCUUACGUCCAGGGCUGCAAACAUGGUACAAUGCUCGGUACAAAGGGUUGCGAUCCCGCAAGGGGGAG